UCUUAAAGAAACACAAAAUAAGAAAUUUAUCACAAAAGAGCUGCUGUGAGACUGACUGAACAGAUUUAACGUGUCAGGUGGAGGUUUUAUCUUCACCAACCAUCAACCUGAUCAAUUCAUCAUCAACAUCUCUGAUGAAGAUGCUGAAGAUCAGAACUGAUGCUACAAUCAUCAGACAUCCAUCAAAAAGACAACGGAGCAGAAUGAAGGUGAGCGCUGUAAUAAAUAAUAACAGACAUUACUGUAUCUGAUCACAGAUUAGUAAAUAUCAUA